GAUGAACGCUGGCGGCGUGCCUAAUACAUGCAAGUCGAGCGAACGGACGAGAAGCUUGCUUCUCUGAUGUUAGCGGCGGACGGGUGAGUAACACGUGGAUAACCUACCUAUAAGACUGGGAUAACUUCGGGAAACCGGAGCUAAUACCGGAUAAUAUUUUGAACCGCAUGGUUCAAAAGUGAAAGACGGUCUUGCUGUCACUUAUAGAUGGAUCCGCGCUGCAUUAGCUAGUUGGUAAGGUAACGGCUUACCAAGGCAACGAUGCAUAGCCGACCUGAGAGGGUGAUCGGCCACACUGGAACUGAGACACGGUCCAGACUCCUACGGGAGGCAGCAGUAGGGAAUCUUCCGCAAUGGGCGAAAGCCUGACGGAGCAACGCCGCGUGAGUGAUGAAGGUCUUCGGAUCGUAAAACUCUGUUAUUAGGGAAGAACAUAUGUGUAAGUAACUGUGCACAUCUUGACGGUACCUAAUCAGAAAGCCACGGCUAACUACGUGCCAGCAGCCGCGGUAAUACGUAGGUGGCAAGCGUUAUCCGGAAUCAUUGGGCGUAAAGCGCGCGUAGGCGGUUUUUUAAGUCUGAUGUGAAAGCCCACGGCUCAACCGUGGAGGGUCAUUGGAAACUGGAAAACUUGAGUGCAGAAGAGGAAAGUGGAAUUCCAUGUGUAGCGGUGAAAUGCGCGGAGAUAUGGAGGAACACCAGUGGCGAAGGCGACUUUCUGGUCUGUAACUGACGCUGAUGUGCGAAAGCGUGGGGAUCAAACAGGAUUAGAUACCCUGGUAGUCCACGCCGUAAACGAUGAGUGCUAAGUGUUAGGGGGUUUCCGCCCCUUAGUGCUGCAGCUAACGCAUUAAGCACUCCGCCUGGGGAGUACGACCGCAAGGUUGAAACUCAAAGGAAUUGACGGGGACCCGCACAAGCGGUGGAGCAUGUGGUUUAAUUCGAAGCAACGCGAAGAACCUUACCAAAUCUUGACAUCCUUUGACAACUCUAGAGAUAGAGCCUUCCCCUUCGGGGGACAAAGUGACAGGUGGUGCAUGGUUGUCGUCAGCUCGUGUCGUGAGAUGUUGGGUUAAGUCCCGCAACGAGCGCAACCCUUAAGCUUAGUUGCCAUCAUUAAGUUGGGCACUCUAAGUUGACUGCCGGUGACAAACCGGAGGAAGGUGGGGAUGACGUCAAAUCAUCAUGCCCCUUAUGAUUUGGGCUACACACGUGCUACAAUGGACAAUACAAAGGGCAGCGAAACCGCGAGGUCAAGCAAAUCCCAUAAAGUUGUUCUCAGUUCGAAUUGUAGUCUGCAACUCGACUACAUGAAGCUGGAAUCGCUAGUAAUCGUAGACCAGCAUGCUACGGUGAAUACGUUCCCGGGUCU
rnacentral:rRNA from 1 species